rnacentral:rRNA from 1 species
CCUAGGGGGGCUGCAGUGAGGAAUACUGGUCAAUGGACGAGAGUCUGAACCAGCCAAGUAGCGUGAAGGAUGACUGCCCUAUGGGUUGUAAACUUCUUUUAUAUGGGAAUAAAACGUUCCACGUGUGGGAUUUUGUAUGUACCAUAUGAAUAAGGAUCGGCUAACUCCGUGCCAGCAGCCGCGGUAAUACGGAGGAUCCGAGCGUUAUCCGGAUUUAUUGGGUUUAAAGGGAGCGUAGGUGGAUUGUUAAGUCAGUUGUGAAAGUUUGCGGCUCAACCGUAAAAUUGCAGUUGAAACUGGCAGUCUUGAGUACAGUAGAGGUGGGCGGAAUUCGUGGUGUAGCGGUGAAAUGCUUAGAUAUCACGAAGAACUCCGAUUGCGAAGGCAGUUCACUGGACUGCAACUGACACUGAGGCUCGAAAGUGUGGGUAUCAAACAGGAUUAGAUACCCGGGUAGUC